rnacentral:rRNA from 1 species
GUUCAGGCUAUGAUGAACUUUGGCAAACGGCUCAGUAACACGUAGUCAACCUACCUUUAAGAAAAGUUAACCCCGGGAAACUGGGAUUAAUGCUUUAUAGGCAAUAAAUACUGGAAGGUUUUAUUGCUCAAAUAAACUGCAUUCAUGCUUGUAGUUUGCUUGAAGACGGGACUGCGUUGGAUUAGGUUGUUGGCGGGGUAACUGCCCACCAAGCCGAAGAUCCAUACGGGCCUUGAGAGAGGGAGCCCGGAGAAGGGAACUGAGAUAAGGUCCCUAGCCCUACGGGGUGCAGCAGUUGUGAAUUCUCUACAAUGCGCGAAAGCGUGAUAGGGGGAUUUCAAGUGCAAGCUUUGCUUGCUUUUAUAUAAUGUAAAAAGUUAUGUGAAUAAAUGGAGGGUAAGAUACGUGCCAGCCGCCGCGGUAAUACGUACUCCAUAAGUGGUGUCCACUAAUAUUGGGCCUAAAGCGUCUGUAGCCUGUCCAAAAAGUUUUUGGUGAAAUCUGCAAGCCCAACUUGUAGGCGUGCUAAAAAUACUCUUGGACUCGAGGCCGGGAGAAGUCGAAGGAAUUCCUGAGGUAGCGGUGAAAUGCUAUAAUCUUAGGAGGACCACCAGUAGCGAAGGCGUUUGACUAGAACGGACCUGACGGUGAGAGACGAAGGCUGGGGGAUCGACCCGGAUUAGAUACCCGGUUAGUCCCAGCAGUAAACGAUGCAGACUAGGUGUCCUAGCAGCCACGAGCUGUCGGGGUGCCGAAAGAAAGCCGUUAAGUCUGCCGCCUGGGAAGUACGGUCGCAAGGCUGAAACUUAAUGGAAUUGGCGGGGGCGCACUACAAGGGGUGGAUGCUGCGGUUUAAUUGGAUACAACGCCAGAUAAUUUACCAGGGGUGACAGCAGGAUGAUGGACAGUCUGAAGGGCUUUCCUGACGCGCUGAGAGGUGUUGUAUGGUCAUCGUCAGCUCGUACUAUGAAGCGUCCUGUCAACUCAGGCAACGGGCGAGACCCACAUUUAUAGUUGCUAUUUCGCUUUAGCGGGAGCACUCUAUAAAGACUGCGAGGGUAACCUUGAGGAAGGAGUGGGCAACGGUAGAUCAGUAUGGCCCGAAUCUCCUGGGCAACACGCGGCAUACAAUGGUUAAGACAAUGGGCUCCGACCCCGAAAGGGGAAGGCAAUCUCUUAAACUUAACCUCAGUUCGGACUGAGGUCUGUAACCUGGCCUCAUGAAGCUGGAAUCCCCAGUAAUCGGAAGUCAUUAUCUUCCGGUGAAUAAGUCCCUGCGCCUUGCACACACCGCCCAUCAAGCCAGCUGAAUGGAGUCUGGAUGAACUUCAACUUCUUGGUUGAAGUUAUUCUAGUUUCUGUAAAGCGGGCUAAGUUGUAACAAGGU